GGGUGAGUAACACGUGAGUAACCUGCCCCUGACUCUGGGAUAAGCCCGGGAAACUGGGUCUAAUACCGGAUAUGACCAUGGGACGCAUGUCUUGUGGUGGAAAGAUUUAUCGGUUGGGGAUGGACUCGCGGCCUAUCAGCUUGUUGGUGAGGUAAUGGCUCACCAAGGCGACGACGGGUAGCCGGCCUGAGAGGGUGACCGGCCACACUGGGACUGAGACACGGCCCAGACUCCUACGGGAGGCAGCAGUGGGGAAUAUUGCACAAUGGGCGCAAGCCUGAUGCAGCGACGCCGCGUGAGGGAUGACGGCCUUCGGGUUGUAAACCUCUUUCAGUAGGGAAGAAGCGAGAGUGACGGUACCUGCAGAAGAAGCGCCGGCUAACUACGUGCCAGCAGCCGCGGUAAUACGUAGGGCGCAAGCGUUAUCCGGAUUUAUUGGGCGUAAAGAGCUCGUAGCGGUUUGUCG
rnacentral:rRNA from 1 species